UACGAAGGGGGCUAGCGUUGCUCGGAAUCACUGGGCGUAAAGGGUGCGUAGGCGGGUCUUUAAGUCAGGGGCGAAAUCCUGGAGCUCAACUCCAGAACUGCCUUUGAUACUGAAGAUCUUGAGUCCGGGAGAGGUGAGUGGAACUGCGAGUGUAGAGGUGAAAUUCGUAGAUAUUCGCAAGAACACCAGUGGCGAAGGCGGCUCACUGGCCCGGUACUGACGCUGAGGCACGAAAGCGUGGGGAGCAAACAGG
rnacentral:rRNA from 1 species